rnacentral:rRNA from 1 species
GACGAACGCUGGCGGCGUGCUUAACACAUGCAAGUCGAGCGGUAAGGCCCUUUCGGGGGUACGACGAGCGGCGAACGGGUGAGUAACACGUGGGUGACCUGCCCUCAGCUCUGGGAUAAGCCUGGGAAACCGGGGUCUAAUACCGGAUAUGACUCCAUGACGCAUGUUGUGGGGUGGAAAGCCUUGUGCGGCUGAGGAUGGGCCCGCGGCCUAUCAGCUUGUUGGUGGGGUGAUGGCCUACCAAGGCGACGACGGGUAGCCGGCCUGAGAGGGCGACCGGCCACACUGGGACUGAGACACGGCCCAGACUCCUACGGGAGGCAGCAGUGGGGAAUCUUGCGCAAUGGGCGAAAAGCCUGACGCAGCGACGCCGCGUGAGGGAUGACGGCCUGUGU